rnacentral:lncRNA from 10 species
CCCCCAUAUCUGAUGGAAGUCAUUGGGAACCCUAGAGCCUGCCAGCAGGCUGUGACCUCUGGGACCCUCCUGGAACCACGCAUUUGUCCAUGGCUGGCUGCUCUUUGACUUCUGAUUCCUGUUGCAGGGUCUCCUUGCUUGGUGAGCCUGGUGGUUGACCAUCAGCUCUGGCAUCGUGGGGCCCACACCAGCCGGGCUAGCCUCCCAUCCGCUGGAAAACAUGGGAGUACUGAGCAUCAAUUCCUCCUUAGUCUUGCAACAGGAUGGAACAGUUCCCAGGGCGCUGGCACUUCCAUUGGCAGCAGCAGAAGAACCAAAAUAGGACACACCAAAUGGAUCUAAUUUUGCCUGAACCUCAGUCUGCAAGGUGGGGGCUCCCAUUCGCUGGAUCCAACCAGACAGAGCAGGACAGUUCCUGGAGCCCCAGAAGAGUGGCGAGUGGAGGAGUGAUCUGCUGGGGAAUGGAGUUGCAUCAGAAGAUAUGGAACCAUUGAGAGGACCUUUCUUGGUGAAUGGCCAGGUGCUUUAGAAAUGAGUGGGGUGACUCAGAAGAUUCCAUGGCCUAAGGAGCCUCCAUGUUGGUGCCUGGGGAAGAUCUAUACAGGAUGGGUGUGUCUCAGAGUGGGAUAGGCCAGCAUCUCUCAAACCUGUACUGUGGAUACAAACCCCCACAGGAGUCUUGCUAAAAUUCAGAUUCUGACUGAGGGGCUUGGGGUGGUGAGUGAGGUGCUGCAUUUCUUACAAGCUUCCAGGUGCUGCCUGUGCAGCCGGUCCACGGACCACACACUGAG